GGGCCUAGGCUGUCACAGUGCCUGUGUUUUGGGUAGCAUCAGGCAACAGGCCUGAUGUCUGUUGUAACAAAUGGCUGGCCACUGAGGCAGGCACGUUACAGCCAACACUACACAUGCAGACAAAGCCACCAGCUCACUUCAGCCCACGAUGCUUGGGGACAAAAGUGCCAUACACACUUGUCUCCAAUUCUAGGGUGAAUUUAGACAACCAGAGCUGGGAUGUGCACUGAACUGCUUGUGCAUACAGGCAGCCACAAUGCUUAGGAGCCAAAGGUUUGAGGGCAAAGAAAGAUGACUGAAGCUGUAAGAAAUACUUUCUUUGAUUAAAAAGUAGUUGCAAUGAAUGAAGUAAUGAAACAAAGACUGACCUUUACAAUUGCGUGUUAGUACACAAAAUUCCUUUGAAGAAAUUGACAUUAAAAAUACUCAUUAAAUAAAGCAAAAUAUCUUUCAGAGGUUUUUAUGGCAUUAUAAGACAUAAUUUUACCAUAGACAUUGCUGGGAUCUGUGUAACCCUGAAAAAUAAGGUAUUGGAGGAAUAUCUGUGAAACAAGUAUGGCAGUGUUCAUUUGGAGAAAUUUCUUCAUGAUAAGGCUGGAUUAUUGGAUAGCAAAGGAGUGGGAAAUAUACAGACUGAACAGUGAAACAUGAUCAGAGAAUCUGAUUUGUUGCUUGGUGUCUGAAAACUGUAUUUGAACUUAAACUUUCUAAUGGUUCCUACUUACAAAAAAAGAGUAUUUAAAAAAUGUGUUCAGAUGUACCAGGCUGAUGACCAACUGACAUGCUUUUCAUUCCAAUAUUAACAUGUAUCUUAGAGAACCGUGUCCAGUGUAAAAAAAUCCUGUGGUUUUGGGACCCAGAAGAGGAAUGCAAGGCUCUUGUGUUUGGUCUGUCUGUGCUGUGCUACACAGGAUAGUUGUAGAGAAAGAUCAGAAGAGGGUCCAGAUAUUCAGUCUUUUCUCUUUCAGUUAUACAAGGUCAGUAGGUUGGAACUGACUUGAUAGGUUUAAAUCAGUGAAAAUAUAAGGCCAGUAUCUCUACAGCUGUCUAUAUCUCAGAUAACCUCUCUACUUAAAAAUACCAGCAAUGUGCAGUGUAAUGUCACUUACUUUGAAGCUGACAUUUUGCAUUGUACAGGUUUUCAGUUGCUCAUAAAACUUUGCCAGCUUUCACAAGUCUGAAAUUUUCCCUAAGGGGUGUUGGCCUCAAAAUGAAUUUUUUGGUGAAGGCUCCAGACACAGUUUUGUCAGCUGCCUAUGAUCAAAAUGCAGAUUAUUUGCCCUUGUAGCAAAAAGAAAAAGAAGAAGAAAGAGAAAAAGAAAAGAAGGAAAGAAAAAGAAGAAAGAGAAAAAAGGAAGGAUAAGAAAAAAGGAAAGAAGAAAGAUAAGGAAAAUAAUAAAAGGAGAGAAAAAGAAGGAGAAAAAUAAAAGGAAAGAAAAGAUAAAAGGAAAGAAAAGGAAAAAAGCCCACAGGUGCAGCGCACUGAGAAAGGACUGCACUAGCUUCACCCUGGAGCUGGUGCCAUCCAAGCACUCUACCGUAGCUUACAUCUCUUUUAUGCUCACCCUCCUGCCACCAGACUAGGACUCCCUUGGAUUAUUGGAAGAAGAUAGGCAAGCAAAUGAAUUCCUUAUAGGAACUGCAUUUCAUAGUAUGCUGGAAAAGAACUGAAACUUUGACAAUUAUAACCAGGAAACAGGAGACAAAUACAAAAGAUUUAACCAAGCUACCCAAAAUAUUUCCAUGGAAAUGAUUUAAUUAUCAAAUGCAUCAGUUUGCCAAUAUUUUGUUAAAUUAAAACUAAAUUCAUAACAAUCAAAGGGACGUU